rnacentral:rRNA from 1 species
UACGAAGGGGGCUAGCGUUGCUCGGAUUUACUGGGCGUAAAGGGCGCGUAGGCGGACGAUUUAGUCAGAGGUGAAAGCCCGGGGCUCAACCCCGGAAUUGCCCUUGAUACUGGUCGUCUUGAGUUUGGGAGAGGUAUGCGGAACUCCGAGUGUAGAGGUGAAAUUCGUAGAUAUUCGGAAGAACACCAGUGGCGAAAGCGACUUCCUGGACCAAUACUGACGCUCAUGUGCGAAAGCGUGGGGAGCAAACAGG